UUAACUCAAAUUUGUAUGGAGUUGGAACGUUAGCCUAGGUUUGCCGCUAGGGGCGCUGUUCCAACUGUACACAGAUGCAUGGUA
rnacentral:pre_miRNA from 1 species